ensembl:lncRNA
GGGUAAUCUGCAAACUCUGAACUCUUCACCAUCCAGCCCUCUACGGCCUCCUGGGCUGCUGCUCCCACCCCCUUAGCUCUCAUCAGCCCAGAUCUCUGCCUGGCUCUGCUCUGUCUCUUCUCCAUGCCUUUGCAUCCAUCCUGACUUCUUCCUGAGGAGUCUUUUCCUCCUCCUCUCCUACAGCACAACUCUGUCCCUCCUUUGGGAUCUAGCUCAAAUGUCAUCCUUUCUCCAGCUGCCCCUAGGCUACCUCUGGACCCCACAGGCCCUCAUGAAGUCUGAAUCUUAUUCUGAAAAUAACACUGCUGCCCUUGGUGGGGCACAUCCUGGAUCCUGGUGUGUCUCCAGGCAGACUGUACAUGCUGACAUCAGGCCAGACCGUCCCCUUUGGCUCAGGGACCAAGAUGGAUGUGCUCUGGGAUGGCAGCUCAUGGUCCCUGCAUCGGGGCAACACAAAGACCACCUGAACCGUGGCUAACCACUCUUAUUUUCCCCAGGAAAGAAAUUUCAGUUCAACACAUUCGUGCAGCAUUUCGUGUACCACACAGUCUCAAACAGCCAAGAGGAUCUCCUGUACCCAGGCUCCUUCUCCUUUCUUGUUCUCAAAGUUCUUUUGCAAGUUACAGAGCAAGUUGCAGCCACAGUCUGACAGCUUCCAUUGUGUCAAAAACUUCGGGAAAACAAUUAUAUGCGAUCACAGUCUGCACCUCUCAGGAGCAGCCAUGAUGUCCUUCAGUAGGUGAUGGAUGGAUCAACGGACACAUCCCCACCUGGAAUACCAUACGGUGCUGAAAAGAGAUGAGCUAUCAGGGGAGGAAGGACAUGGAGGGACCUGAUGUGCAUAUUACUAAGUGAAAGAAACCAAUCUUAUAAAAACCCCCUACUAUGCGUUUCCAAUUAUAUGACAUUCUGGAAAAGGCAAAACUAUGGAAAGUGAAAAAUCAGGGAUUUCCAGGCUGAUGACAGGGGCCAGGGAUGAAUGGAUGGGGUACAGAGGAUUCUGAGGGCUGUGAAACUGCUCUGUGUGAUGCUAUAAUCGUGGAUACAUGUAUUUUAAAUUUGUCUAAACCCACAGAAGGUAUAAGACCAAGAGUGAACCCUCAUUAAACUAUAUGCUUUAAACAAUAUAAUGACGUCAUACUACAGGUUCCCAUGUGGCACUAGUGGUAAAGAACCCACCUACCAAAGCAGGAGAUACUAGAGACAUGGGUUGGAGCCCUGGGUUGGGAAAAUCCCCUGGAGAAGGACGUGGCUACCCACUCCAGUAUUCUUGCCUGGAGAAUUCCA